ACCCCUCCCCCAUUAAAAUCUUCCCCAAACAAGAGUCCUUUCUCCUCUGAAGAGGGACCCUCUGUCCAACGCCAAGUGACUCUCAUGGAGGCCAUAGGCGGUGGGACACUUGCCUUCACAAAAGGAGCUGGAGUGUCAAAUAAACUCAGUCAGAGCCCCCGACACACAAUCAUUCCUUUAUCAGGGCACCGCGAGAGGGACACAGAGACAGACUUUGUGUCAACGAGCGGACCUUGACAAAACACUGGGUGUUUUUAAUGUCGUUUUUAUUCCGCUCCCUUCUUCGAUUGAGCCUCGUCUUCUUCCGGGAGGGAUGUGUGUCGGGGUUCUGUUUACGGGACCCGUCUCACACCCGGCAUCUGUCCUGCACACGGCUAGGCUGACCUGGACCUGUGUGGUGCAGGCCUGGAGAGGUACACUGUCUGCACAGCACAACAGAGCACAACACAACACACUCCCCAGCCAGGCCUGGAGAGGUACACUGUCUGCACAGCACAACAGAGCACAACACAACACACUCCCCAGCCAGGCCUGGAGAGGUACACUGUCUGCACAGCACAACAGAGCACAACACAACACACUCCCCAGCCAGGCCUGGAGAGGUACACUGUCUGCACAGCACAACACACCACACUCCCCAGCCAGGCCUGGAGAGGUACACUGUCUGCACAGCACAACACACCACACUCCCCAGCCAGGCCUGGAGAGGUACACUGUCUGCACAGCACAACACACCACACUCCCCAGCCAGGCCUGCCUGUCACAACACAGAACAUUCCAGGAAAUCAUAUUUUAGAUUGUUGAGUUUCUUUCAUUUUUUGGACUCAGCUUAUAGCUGCUUAAAAUGAGUCUGCGAGCAGUAAAUGAGGAAGCAGCUUUCUUGCAGAGUUGAAGGAGCUGGCUGCAGUGUGAUACGAUAGGCUUGUGGUGAACCACAGCGGUGAGAGGUAUCCACAACAAGGUCAGACUCAGUUAGGAAGUCGACAUUUACUUCACUGAUGUUUUGCUACAAGUCAUUCUCUCAUUACUGAAAGUCUGAGGUAUUUUGGCAACACAACCUCCAAGCCCAAUGGAGACAUUUGCCAUAACUGCAGGCAACAUAUAUUAUGGAGUUUAUUUUACUUAUGGAGUGUGGCGUUGUCUGUAGAUUUUUCUGUAUUUCUUGGCCUCAUUGCAAAGCCUAACCCUCUAAAUAGGAUCAACAGUUGUAACAUGGUAAUAUCUAGACGUACAGUAUCCAUUUAUAACGCUGCUGUGAGAGAUUUCUACACAAAGUCCUGCCAGAUUAUUUUCCACUGAAACAUUGAGAGGACAGGAAAUCGCUCACAGAAACGACACUUGGUUCGUCAGACAGGACGGACACUCCCCUGUCGCCGUCCUGGUGUUUCUGUAGCGUUUGUCUUGUUCUGUAUGUGAAAGCCUUUGAUGCGCUGCGGUCAUGGGACAUUACCUCAGUUUGCACAACACUCGGGCAGCGUUCAGACAACAGGGAGUUGUGUACUCUGUACUCUACUCACAGACCUGUAUCUGCCUCACAAAGUGUUUGUCUAUUCACAAAGCCAAUCAAAGGAGCGCUGAUCUAGGAUCAGGUUCCCCCUGUCAAUAUAAUCUUAUUGUAGUAGCACUCCAACGUUGAGACACUUUGUGGAUAUUAGCCCAGACAGGCGGCCUGCAGGAGGGAGUGUGAUCAUCCUGCAAUGCUGAGGGAACAUUCAGACAACAUUGCUGCCCUGGCCCUAGUUUACCCUGUUGUACCUGCUUCAAUGACAGAGACCGAGCCAGACUCCUGCUCCAGACAGGACCCGAAGCCUGAUAAAUAAUACAGGCCUGCAGGAGGGGCUGUGAUAGUCCAACAACACCCAGGGAACAUUCACCAAACGUUAGGAACCAUUGGGUGUGUGUAAUCUACUCACAGGGCACUACGGGUCUCGUGACAGAAUCCGUGCACCAGGACCUGCCGUGUGCUGGCGUGCCCAUACAGACCUGCAGCAGGAGGAGUGUCAUAGUCCCC
ensembl:lncRNA